rnacentral:misc_RNA from 1 species
AAGUCGUAACAAGGUUUCCGUAGGUGAACCUGCGGAAGGAUCAUUAACACGUUAUCCACGUAUCAUCAACGAGAAUCGUUUUCAAUCCUCGCCGACAAUACAAUGAAUUGGAACUUGUCUUGGAGCUUUUGGAUGGGAUGCUUGCGUCCGCUCUACUUGCCACUGACUCGCGUUGCUUAGAAAUAAGUCCGGGUCGACAAUUGUAUGUAUUGGAGGUCUACUCUCAUCGGGUCUUCAGCCAAUCCUUGAUCAGCUCGAUGGGAAAUAAUUUUACCCCUUUCACCCCUUUUUGCUAGUUGACUUUUUUCUGUGGCUCAUUUGCUUCGGCAUUUGAUCACACGUUUAAUUAUUUGAACGUUAAAAAUACAACUCUUAGCAAUGGAUAUCUAGGUUCUC